rnacentral:rRNA from 1 species
GACGUAGGAGGCGAGCGUUGUCCGGAUUCAUUGGGCGUAAAGAGCACGCAGGCGGUUUGGCAAGUCGGAUGUGAAAGCCCGGAGCUCAACUCCGGACCUGCAUCCGAAACUGCCCGACUAGAGGUAGGUAGGGGGAGAUCGGAAUUCCUGGUGUAGCGGUGAAAUGCGCAGAUAUCAGGAGGUACACCGGUGGCGAAGGCGGGUCUCUGGGCCGAUACUGACGCUGAGGAGCGAAAGCGUGGGGAGCGAACAGG